CCAAAAUACCACUAUCAUUGAUUGAAUACAUAGUCCAAAAUCGGGGUAUAUUUUAUGUCCUAAUUACAACUAAAUCAUAUGCUACAAGCCAACUAUAAAAUUAAGUAAAAGUUUUACAAUAAGUAACACAAGAAUGUGUUCUUAUCCCAGCUAAUUCAAUCAACCGGUGAUACCAUUCCAAUCCCACAACAUAAAUACCAUAACUAACAACAAGCAACAUCUUUUUCACCUUUUAACACUAAGUUCGGUUGCAUCAUUCUUUUUGACCUUCUUCAACAACCCACAUAUCACUCAUGCGGCUUGAUCUAGAAAUUGAGCCUCGUACCACACAAAAUAUUUGCAUCCACCUUUCUUCUGCAAAAACAAACAAAAAAAGAUCGAAUUUGUAAAACCAUCAAAGAAUGAAGAAAAAUUCAACAACAACGAUAAAUUCAGGCUCUUACUUCGUAAAUUCUACAUCGAUAAUAUUGACGACCUGGGUUUCUCUCUAACCAUGAUAUUUUCAAUAGAGCAUUCGUCCCAUAUGACAAAUAAUCAGUCCAUUAUGCGAAUUCAUUAUCCUUUUCAAAAUUGAAUCAGGUGAAUCUACUACUAAUUACAUCGAGUCACAAAACAAUAAAGAGAGAAGGAUGAAGAAACAGAAGAACGUUAUUUACUUGUUUGAGCCUUCAGUCACUAGUAUGAAACAAGAGAAAGAUAUUGAGCAAUUUUGACUUGGAUCUUCAAUAUCAUUUGUUAGAGAUGACUUAGGGUUUUUUUAGGGAAAAAAUAUGGUAUAUUUUUGGAUUUGGGGAAGGGAUUAUAAAGAGCCUGCUUUUUACCAUUGGAA
rnacentral:lncRNA from 1 species